GAUGAACGCUAGCGGCAGGCCUAACACAUGCAAGUCGAGGGAGAAGCCCUUUCGGGGGCAGAAACCGGCGCACGGGUGCGUAACGCGUAUGCAACCUACCUUUCACAGGGGGAUAGCCCGAAGAAAUUUGGAUUAAUACCCCAUAAUCUUAUUGGAUGGCAUCAUUUGAUAAUUAAAACUGCGGUGGUGAAAGAUGGGCAUGCGUCCUAUUAGCUAGUUGGAGUUGUAACGGCACUCCAAGGCUACGAUAGGUAGGGGUCCUGAGAGGGAGAUCCCCCACACUGGUACUGAGACAGGGACCAGACGCCGACGGGAGGCAGCAGUGAGUAAUAUUGGGCAAUGGUCGGAAGACUGAACCAGCCAUGCCGCGUGCAGGAAGAAUGCCUUAUGGGUUGUAAACUGCUUGUAUAGGGGAAGAAUAAGGCGUACGUGUACGUUGAUGACGGUACCAUAUGAAUAAGCAUCGGCUAACUACGUG
rnacentral:rRNA from 1 species